rnacentral:rRNA from 1 species
AUACGUAUGGUGCGAACGUUGUUCGGAAUUACUGGGCGUAAAGCGUGCGCAGGCGGUUUUGUAAGACAGGCGUGAAAUCCCCGGGCUCAACCUGGGAAUGGCGCUUGUGACUGCAAGGCUAGAGUGCGUCAGAGGGGGGUAGAAUUCCACGUGUAGCAGUGAAAUGCGUAGAGAUGUGGAGGAAUACCGAUGGCGAAGGCAGCCCCCUGGGACGAGACUGACGCUCAUGCACGAAAGCGUGGGGAGCAAACAGGAUUAGAAACCCCAGUAGUCC